GCAAACGAUACUAUUAUUCAUUUCCGGGGAUUCAAUUGGUGUGCAGGGGUUUUACAUUUCCAGCAGUUAUGUUUAUUGUUGUUCGAGGUGAAAGCAUUUGAAAAGGUGUUUUCGGGGAAACGAAACUUUUCCGGUUUCAUCCAAGCCAGCUUCUGUAGAGGAAAUGGAAUUCACGAAGCUGGGAAGAUCUAGUGAAAAUAUCUACAAUGACGAACGAAAACCCGCAGAAUUUGAGUGGCUAUCAACGAACAACAACGGACCAUCCAAAACACUGGACUUCAAAUACAACUUCACCAUGCUUACCAAGAAAUCAGCAAGAAACGCAAGAAACGACGCGAUGACAAACACGCAGCAAGCGCAAGUGCUGCCAGAACAACA